rnacentral:tRNA from 1 species
GCCUGGGUGGCUCAGUCGGUUGAGCGUCUGGCUUCGGCUCAGGUCAUGAUCUUGCCGUCUGUGUGUUCAAGCCCCACCUCGGGCU